UGGGCAACCUGCCCCUGGCUCUGGGAUAACUCCAAGAAAUUGGGGCUAAUACUGGAUAUUCACUUCUCAUCGCAUGGUGGGUGGAGGAAAGUCCUGGGCUUAAUUGUCUGGGUUCGGCUGGGGAUGGGCCCGCGGCCUAUCAGCUUGUUGGUGGGGUGAUGGCCUACCAAGGCGACGACGGGUAGCCGGCCUGAGAGGGCGUCCGGCCACACUGGGACUGAGACACGGCCCAGACUCCUACGGG
rnacentral:rRNA from 1 species